rnacentral:rRNA from 1 species
UACGUAGGGUGCGAGCGUUAAUCGGAAUUACUGGGCGUAAAGCGUGCGCAGGCGGUGAUGUAAGACCGAUGUGAAAUCCCCGGGCUUAACCUGGGAACUGCAUUGGUGACUGCAUUGCUGGAGUAUGGCAGAGGGGGGGUGGAAUUCCACGUGUAGCAGUGAAAUGCGUAGAGAUGUGGAGGAACACCGAUGGCGAAGGCAAUCCCCUGGCCUGCACUGGACGCUCAUGCACGAAAGCGUGG